rnacentral:rRNA from 1 species
GACGAACGCUGGCGGCGUGCUUAACACAUGCAAGUCGAACGAGAUUGUAGAGAAAGCUUGCUUUUUCUACAAUCUAGUGGCAAACGGGUGAGUAACGCGUAAACAACCUGCCCUACGGAUGGGGACAACAGCUGGAAACGGCUGCUAAUACCGAAUACGUUCCGAAAGUCGCAUGACUAUCGGAAGAAAGGAUGGCCUCUAUUUAUAAGCUAUCGCCGGAGGAGGGGUUUGCGUCUGAUUAGCUAGUUGGAGGGGUAACGGCCCACCAAGGCGACGAUCAGUAGCCGGUCUGAGAGGAUGAACGGCCACAUUGGAACUGAGACACGGUCCAGACUCCUACGGGAGGCAGCAGUUGGGGAAUCUUCCGGCAAUGGGCGAAAGCCUGACGGGGCAACGCCGCGUGAGUGAAGACGGCCUUCGGGUUGUAAAGCUCUGUUAUACGGGACGAAUAAUCUUGUGGUUAAUACCCAUGAGAAGUGACGGUACCGUGAU